UCGUGGGGUGACUUGUCUGGUUGAUUCCGAUAACGAGCGAGACCGAGACCCAAGGUUGGCGCCGUUUCCCUCAUGUUCUUUCGGGCUUCGAGGGCGGCGCUCUUCUUGCGCCUUGGGGACCGGCGCCCGGUUAAGGGCGUGGAGGUGCUUGGCAAUAACA
rnacentral:rRNA from 1 species